CGUUGCCUAAAUUUAAUAGGGAACUGCUGGGAUGUGCCCUACACAAUGAAGCUUGUACAAGAGAAGAGAAGAGGAGAGGAAGGUGGUCUAGAUCAUGAAGGAUUUUGUAAGACAUGGCUAAGAGUUUAGAAUUUAUCCAAUAAACAGAGGUAUGUUUGCCUAUAGAUUAUGGAAUGAGGGGACUGACUGCUCUGUUUCUACUCUUCUUGUUAGAAAGUGUGCAGACUCAAGUGUGGCCACCAUCUUCAGCUUUGAUAGUCACAGCAAUGACUUAUUUGAUGCUGGGUCAUCAACUUCUUGUGAUGGAAUUAAUCCUGCGAGAACACUGACUCCAAUGGCAGAGGCAAGGAAGGAUUGCAGCCGGAUAGCUUGUGGACUCUUUCGUGUGCUGCUGUGUAUUGUACGGGGACUGGAAUGCAAAAGAAGGAAGUCAAGAAACACCUGGAGUAACAGGCAAAUUUGGCCUUGGAAUGCGGAAUGAAGCAGGGUAAAGACUAAUAGAGUUUUGCCAAGAAAAUGCGCUGGUCGUAGCAAACACCCUGUUCUAACAACACAAGAGAAGACUCUACACAUGGACAUCACCAGAUGGUCAACACCGAAAUCAGAUUGAUUAUAUUCUUUGCAGCCAAAGAUGGAGAAGCUCUAUACAGUCAACAAAAAAAGACCAGGAGCUGACUGUGGCUCAGAUCAUGAACUCCUUAUUACAAAAUUCAGACUUAAAUUGAAGAAAGUAGGGAAAACCACUAGACCAUUCAGGUAUGACCUAACUCAAAUCCCUUAUGAUUAUACAGUGGAAGUGAGAAAUAGAUUUAAGGGCCUAGAUCUGAUAGAUAGAGUGCCUGAUGAACUAUGGAAUGAGGUUUGUGACAUUGUACAGGAGACAGGGAUCAAGACCAACCACAUGGAAAAGAAAUGCAAAAAACGCAAAAUGACUGUAUGGGGGGGGGGGCUUACAAAUAGCUGUGAAAAGAAGAGAAGCAAAAAGCAAAGAAGAAAAGGAAAGAUACAAGCAUCUGAAUGCAGAGUUUCAAAGAAUAGCAAGGAGAGAUUAAGAAAGCCUUCCUCAGCGAUCAGUGCAAAGAAAUAGAGGAAAAGAACAGAAUGGGAAAGACUAGAGAUCUCUUCAAGAAAAUUAGAGAUACUAAGGCAACAUUUCAGAAAUGGUAUGGACCUAACAGAAGCAGAAGAUAUUAAGAAGAGGUUGCAAGAAUACACAGAAGAACUGUACAAAAAAGAUCUUCACGACCAAGAUAAUCACGAUGGUGUGAUCACUCAUCUAGAACCAGACAUCCUGGAAUGUGAAGUCAAGUGGGCCUUAGAAAGCAUCACUAUGAACAAAGCUAGUAGAGGUGAUGGAAUUCCAGUGGAGCUACUUCAAAUGCUGAAAGAUGAUGCUGUAAGUGCUGCACUCAAUAUGCCAGCAAAUUUGGAAAACUCAGCAGUGGCCACAGGACUGGGAAAGGUCAGUUUUUAUUCCAAUCCCAAAGAAAGGCAAUGCCAAAGAAUGCUCAAACUACCGCACAAUUGCACUCAUCUCAUAUGCUAGUAAAGUAAUGCUCAAAAUUCUCUAAGCCAGGCUUCAGCAAUAUGUGAACCAUGAACUUCCUGAUGUUCAAGCUGGUUUUAGAAAAGGCAGAGGAACUAGAGAUCAAAUUGCCAACAUCAACUGGAUCAUCAAAAAAGCAAGAGAGUUCCAGAAAAACAUCUAUUUCUGCUUUAUUGACUAUGCCAAAGCCUUUGACUGUGUGGAUCACAAUAAACUGGAAAAUUCUGAGAGAGAUGGGAAUACUAGACCACCUGACCUCCCUCUUGAGAAAUCUAUGCAGGUAAGGAAGCAACAGUUAGAACUGGACAUGGAACAACAGACUGAUUUCAAAUAGGAAAAGGAGUACGUCAAGGCUGUAUAUUGUCACCCUGCUUAUUUAACUUCUAUGCAGAGUACAUCAUGAGAAACACUGGACUGGAAGAAACACCG
ensembl:lncRNA